GACGAAGGGGGCUAGCGUUGUUCGGAAUUACUGGGCGUAAAGCGCGCGUAGGCGGUCUUUCAAGUCAGGAGUGAAAGCCCCGGGCUCAACCCGGGAAUAGCUCUUGAUACUGUUGGACUUGAGUCCGGGAGAGGAUAGUGGAAUUCCCAGUGUAGAGGUGAAAUUCGUAGAUAUUGGGAAGAACACCAGUGGCGAAGGCGGCUAUCUGGACCGGUACUGACGCUGAGGAGCGAAAGCGUGGGUAGCAAACAGG
rnacentral:rRNA from 1 species